CAAGUUAGACUAGUGUAGAUCCAGGUGCAAUAACAUACCCGUACAGCUCCAGGUCACGUUCAGGUAACGGACAACUAGCCUACCUAUAAAACUGCGAACUCAGUCACACCCCGAUAUUCUUUGCGGUGAGUGAGUGGGAUGAUGAAGUAGGCGCGUCUUAACGAAACGAACUUGACGAGUGAUCCAUUGAUUUCACUUCACUUUACUCCAGGGAUCUGACACGCGUGGCUCUUCUGCAGCGGAAAUAUAAACCAAAGGACAACAAUGAAGACCUUGGCAUUGCUGACACUUCUGCUGACCAUGAAUGGUUCUGCAGUGGGACAAAUGAUGAAAUCUAAUAAGACGGGCUUUGUUGGACAGGAUGUACUUUUAUCAUGC